GAUGAACGCUAGCGGGAGGCCUAAUACAUGCAAGUCGAGCGGUAGAGUGACUUCGGUUGCUUGAGAGCGGCGCGACGGGUGAGUAACGCGUACAUGACCUACCUUUAAGACUGGGAUAGCCCUGGGAAACUGGGAUUAAUACCGGAUGUGAUAAUAGAUAUAAGGAUUUAUUAUUAAAGCUGAGGCGCUUAGAGAUGGAUGUGCGUCUGAUUAGCUAGUUGGUGAGGUAACGGCUCACCAAGGCGACGAUCAGUAGGGGCGUGAGAGCGUGACCCCCCACACGGGUACUGAGACACGGACCCGACUCCUACGGGAGGCAG
rnacentral:rRNA from 1 species